rnacentral:rRNA from 1 species
UACGGAGGGUGCAAGCGUUGCUCGGAAUCAUUGGGCGUAAAGCGCACGUAGGCGGCUAUCUAAGUCGGAUGUGAAAUCCCUCGGCUUAACCAAGGAAGUGCACCCGAAACUGGAUAGCUUGAGUACAGAAGAGGAUCGCGGAAUUCCCGGUGUAGAGGUGAAAUUCGUAGAUAUCGGGAGGAACACCAGUGGCGAAGGCGGCGAGCUGGGCUGAUACUGACGCUGAGGUGCGAAAGCGUGGGGAGCAAACAGG